GGGAGAGGACGUGGUGUGCGCGGCCGUGGAAGAGGAGGGUACAAUGGUCCCCAGUUUGAUGCUCAGCAAGAUGGAGGAUACUAUGAAGAAGCACCUGCUCAAGGUGGCCGCGGUAUGUAAAUCUCCUUUUUUCCCUUGCAUAUAGCCGUACCCAUACAAGAGUAGUGUGUGGGUUCCCAGAUUCUUUUGCUUGAUAGACUUGCAUAGGCAGCUGUGAUGUAGCCAACUGAAAUUGUUUACACGUUGCUUCUCAAUACAAUAUUGGUGUGCAGGUCGUGGCCGUGGGCGGGGAGGAUAUCGUGGAAGGGGACGUGGCUAUAGGUCAAAUGGGCCGAUCCAGGCAGCUGCUUGAGGUGCGAUAUGAGCGUCGUUGGAACAUCAUACAAAAAAUGGCCAGUGUUUAAUAAUGGACGCCUUAUCUUAUCAAAUAUCUAUGUUUACAAGUUUCCGUUUUCCUAUG
rnacentral:lncRNA from 1 species